rnacentral:piRNA from 1 species
CCGAAUGGCAGAGAAGCACUUGAAAAA